rnacentral:rRNA from 1 species
AACGCUGGCGGCAUGCCUAACACAUGCAAGUCGAACGGCAGCACGGCAGUAGCAAUACUGUGGGUGGCGAGUGGCGGACGGGUGAGGAAUACGUCGGAAUCUGCCCAGUCGUGGGGGAUAACUAGCCNAAAGGUUAGCUAAUACCGCAUACGACCGAGAGGUGAAAGCGGGGGACCGCAAGGCCUCGCGCGAUUGGAUGAGCCGACGUCGGAUUAGCUAGUUGGUGGGGUAAAGGCCUACCAAGGCGACGAUCCGUAGCUGGUCUGAGAGGACGAUCAGCCACACUGGGACUGAGACACGGCCCAGACUCCUACGGGAGGCAGCAGUGGGGAAUAUUGGACAAUGGGGGAAACCCUGAUCCAGCAAUGCCGCGUGUGUGAAGAAGGCCUGCGGGUUGUAAAGCACUUUUGGCAGGGAUGAAAAGCACCGGCCUAACAAUCCAGUGUGUUGACCUAACCUGCAGAAGAAGCACCGGCUAACUCUGUGCCAGCAGCCGCGGUAAUACAGAGGGUGCAAGCGUUAAUCGGAAUUACUGGGCGUAAAGCGCGCGUAGGCCGUUGGGUAAGUCGGAUGUGAAAUCCCCGGGCUUAACCUGGGAAUUGCAUUCGAUACUGCCUGACUAGAGUGUGGAAGAGGGAAGCGGAAUUUCCGGUGUAGCGGUGAAAUGCGUAGAUAUCGGAAGGAACACCAGUGGCGAANGCGGCUUCCUGGUCCNACACUGACGCUGANGCGCGAAAGCGUGGGGAGCGAACAGGAUUAGAUACCCUGGUAGUCCACGCUGUAAACGAUGAGAACUAGAUGUUGGGGGGUAUAACCCCUCAGUGUCGCANCU